UACGGGGGGGGCAAGCGUUGUUCGGAAUUACUGGGCGUAAAGGGCUCGUAGGCGGCCAACUAAGUCGGAUGUGAAAUCCCCAGGCUUAACCUGGGAACUGCAUCCGAUACUGGAUGGCUUGAAUCCGGGAGAGGGAUGCGGAAUUCCAGGUGUAGCGGUGAAAUGCGUAGAUAUCUGGAGGAACACCGGUGGCGAAGGCGGGUCUCUGGGCCGAUACUGACGCUGAGGAGCGAAAGCGUGGGGAGCGAACAGG
rnacentral:rRNA from 1 species